AGAUUGUUGCCUCUCGUUUCCUACUUUGCUUUCUUCCCUACUGGCGGACAUUCUCAACUUUGCACCGCCCAAAUUCGAACGAAAGUUCAAGUUGAAAGUAGGCCCCUUGCUGAGGUUCGUUGCAUCUGAAAUGUGUAGGACAGUAGGAGUUUCUUUGGGAGCGCAAAGUUUGCAUUGGCGGGGUGUGUGAGAUCUUUUGCCCAAAGAUUACCCUGUCGUUGGCUUUG
rnacentral:lncRNA from 1 species